UAUCACUCAGAUUUCUUAAUCUUUCUCACAAUUAUCUCACAGGCCACAUACCACGCUCGAUUGGAAAAUUGACUGUGCUGGAGUCACUAGACCUCUCAUCCAACCAACUUCAAGGAGAAAUUCCUCCGCAGCUCACUAGUGUAUAUUCACUUGCAGUUCUCAAUCUGUCUUGCAACCAACUUAGAGGACGUAUUCCAGAAGGGUCGCAAUUCAAUACAUUUGAAAUCUACAGCUACGUCGGGAACUUUGGGCUGUGCGGAAAACCCUUGUCAAAAAAGUGUGAAAAUUAUGUCAGGGCACAAGAAGAAGACGAAGAAGAUGAGGAUGAUGAUUACUUUUUCAGUGGAUUUACUUGGGAAGCGGUGGUGAUUGGAUAUGGGUGUGGAGUGGUGCCUGCAUUUAUCACUGGCUACCUGAUGUUGUUGGCACGGAAACCAAAAUGGUUUGCUGGAAUCAUUGGCAGGGAACUGGGCCUGAAGAUCAGGAGGAUGGAGAUUAGAAGGCGAUAACUAAAGGUUUGCUGUAAUCUAUAUCCCAAUCUGUAGGUCUUGAAUAUUCAGUAAUAAUAUAUAUAGUAAUAUCUGCUAUCAUAUAAUUCUAUAUUUGCAGAUUGGAGAGGCAUGAACAUUUUGGCAUGCAAGUUGAUGGGACAAGCAGGAUUCAGAUGCACUGGAAUCAACCACUACUUCAGCUGUUUAAUUUGCAUCUUUUCUAAGUUACUCUGCACAUAUUCUAAGUUCCAUAUACAAGUUCUGUAAUGUUUAGUUAUUCUGCACAAACUCUAAGUUAGUUUCAACCACUGGGGUGUAAGCAGCCAAGUUAAUAAACCAGCAGUUUCUGCAGCUUUCACAACGUUGCUUCAUAUUAUUUUCCCCCUUAUUAGAUGAGCAAUAUAUUUGUGGAAUGGAUGUACCUGAAUUUGGUAUCCGAAGCUUAGUUAUAGAAAUUGUAGAUCAGCUAGUUUGCAACUUAGUGAGAAUGCUUUCCAUUGGACUUGAUUUACUCGUAGAGAAGCAGCACGCAAUGUUAAGGAAGGCCUGAUACAUAAUGUAUUCGAGGAAGUUUUGGAUUUCUUUUUAUUGAGAGUUUUUGCAAAACGUGGUUAAGAAAUUUGAGUUUUAAAAUUAGCUGUAAAAAGUAAUAGGUCAAUUGUAUUAGAUAUUUCAUGCAUUUGAGUUUUAAAAUUAGCUGUAAAAAAUAAUGGGUCAACGGCAACAGAAAUGAAUUGGUUUGGUUUCACCCGUAAGAGUUCUGCACUUCACACUCUAAAUUCCAGAAUUAAUAAAUUCAAGUCAUCUUUUAUGUCUUAGAGCAUCUCCAACCAUACAAAUUUCUUAACUAAAAAAUGAGGCAUUACAAAUAUAGAAAAUUAGUCAACUUGUUGAAAAAAUCAUAAAACCUGUAGUCUAUAAUUUUAGCCAACCUCUUACUAUAUUUGUCGAAUCUUUACAGAUCUACAAAUUUCUUACACGUUAUUUAUUACCAUAUUAAACUGAUAUAUUCUAUUUUAACAAACUAAAAUAUCAUUGAAGUACAAUGUCUUACAACUUCUGUAUAUAAUGUCUUACAAGUUCAAUUUAACCAACGAUUAUAGCCUACGAUGUUGCAAUGCUCUUAAGCCACUCUUUAUUAUUUUUGAUUCCAUAAUAAAUAAGUUUAAACUUUAAACUUUUUAUAUUUAAUAAAUUUAUAUAAUUAAUAAUAAUUUAAUUAUUAUUUUUUUAUUUGUAUUAAGUUUAAUUUAUAGAUACCUUUAUAUCAAAAAUACUAAAAUCAAUCAAAAUUUUAAUAUUUUGAUUCAGUAACUGGAAUAUAAAUAUAUCUAACUUUUGAAAUGAUAAAUAAAUAGUUUAUGAUUAAUAAAAAACUAGUAAGUAACUUGCACGAUUUCUCUUAUUUACAGUAAUAAAUCUCUUAUUAGCACUUUCAACUAAAUAUUUCUCCCAAACACUUAUAAUUUAUGUCCAAUUUUCAUAUUAUUUCCUUUAGAAAGACUGUUGUAUUAUUUUUAAUUUUAGUAAUUAGAUUAUUUUUAUAUAUAUAAAUUCCAAAUUUAAAAAACUUAAUAUUUUUGUCACGCUGCUUCUUAUAAUUUGUAAUACAAAUUAUUUCUAGAUAAAAUUAAUAUAUUAAUAAAAAUAGUGUAAACUCCAUAUAAUACAUUGAAAUUAAAUAAAUAUGCUCUGUACUUUUUUUUCACAUGCAAAAAACUGCACUGUUUCGGUUUAAGCAAAGCGUGAUAAUCAGGACUCCUAGCUGGAAUGGCGAGUAUUAUUCCUACGAAGAAGAUGAUGUUCAUGAUAUCCCUUCACCCCCAAAGACAAAGAAUUGGAGCAUGAAUUCUGAUUACUGCAUGUGGGAUGGAGUUAGCUGCGACGAGAAUACAGGGGACCUAAGGGGACUGGAUUUAAGCUGCAGUCAUCUGGUGCAUUGGAAUGAAAUUAUAGAACUUCUUCAGAGCCUGAUGCUCUCGAGGAUGCACUAAUGAACAAGCCUAAUGAUGAUCAUGAGUCAUAACUCCGUCCUAGAAUAAAGUAUCAUGAAACAUAUUUAGUAUUACAUUUUGUAUUAUUGGAAACUUGAUUUGAAACCGAAAUAGUUUGGUGGAAUCAUUGCCAGGGUAUUGGGUCCGAAGAUCGAGGAUGGAGAAUAAAUUGAUUUUGUUCAAAUAUUUAACACAACCCCAUCAUCAUUAUCCAUCACAAGCCCGGUCCAGUGUAGAGUUCUGGCAACUCCAUUUCUUGACACUUCUGUUGAAGUUGGCCUGUCUGGCAGACAAGAGGCCCUGUUUUAGAGGUGAUAUAUGCGCACAGGUCAAAAAUAUACUCCCUCCGUCCCACCAGAUUCUUUACAGUUUCCUUAUUUGGUCGUCCCACCCAUUUCUUUACAUUACAAAACUUUCUUAAAAUAGUUAAUGGGUCCCAACACUUUUCCACUUUUUCUCCCUUUUCACACUACUUUUACUCCACUAUCUCUUUAUUAUAUAUUAAAAAUCAGUGGGUCCCACCACUUCACCCACUUUUCUUUCUUUUUCCCACUACUUUAUACAUAUUUCUUAACCUCCGUGUCCAAACCCAAUGUAAAGAAUUGGGUGGGACGGAGGGAGUAUAUUUCUUCCAAUAGAUUACAUCUCUUUUCUUCAAAAUUUAUUGUAGUUUCAAAAUGUAGCAUUUGAGAACUCAUUCUCUUCACUUCUUAAAUACUUGGUCUUGGUCAAUACAAACACGAUUAAGACCGGUGUCAAUAUCACUCAUUAUUUUUCCACUCCUUUGAAUGGCAUUCUACAAUCCACAUAUCAGUACUCAGACUUUCACCAGUGAACCAUUAAUGCAUAGAUAAUUGAAGAAAGAAACUUCAACAUAUUUGCAUAUCUUUAUCCAUCUUUUUUUUCUAGUCAUCAACAGGCACAAGCUGUUAAUUUUUAUAUGUUCUUAAUUGGUAUAAGCAUUUAAGGUGCGUGUUGAUAUUUCUCACUAAUCUUCUUCUGCUCUAAGUGACAUAUUAUUACAAUCCACAAAUUAGUAGACAGACUAAUAUGGUUAGUUGAGACCAUCAAUCUGGAGAACAGACUAAUACAUGUGUAGUAAUCUGAUCAUCAUUUAUUUGAUUACAAUAGAAAUUCGGCUUUGUUUAGUUCCAUCCUCGGGCUCUUCAUUUCUAAACAUAUUUGCUGAUACUUUUUAUUGUACAAUUUAGAAUAUUCCAUAAAAUUUUAAAUUCGGUGCUAGAUGAUUUUAUGUCCUGUUUUCAUUCCAUUCAUGAACUAAUGAAAAUUUUGAAAUUGGGUCAUAUUAGGCAGUGAUGCCACCUUUCUGGACCUGCAUUUCAUGGCCACAAACUCCUAUUGUGCCAAAAAAUUCCAGCUGUUUGGUGAGAUUUUUCUACGUGCUCUUUUGUUCGGACUUGUUUGCUGAAUCCCACAAUAGACAAUAUUGAUGUUAACAACUCUUGCGUCAGUUACUAGACUUGUCAGUAGCCCAUUCUUUACGGCAGACGUGGAAUUUACUUGAAGAAAUGAAGGUGUAAGAAAGUUGAGAACAUUUUGUUGAUUAUUUCCUUCCCCAGAAACUGCACUCCAGCAUCAAAGUACCUUUCAAAGACUCCAGCAUCAUUUCUUGAUUAUCAAAGUCUUCGUCUUUGUCAUCUCCUGCUCUGAAAGUGCUUCUAUUGCAGACCACAUAUUAGUAGACAGACUACUAAAAUUCAUCUAAAAUGACCUCUCUGCGUGGGCUCUUUUGAACAAUCAGGGUUGGACAUGAUUCUACACGCAUCAGAGAAAAACUAUCAGCUGGCUAAAAACCUCUCUGCAUCAACUCUAUUGAGAAAAGAAACUAUGGCUCAUACAGUUUAAGUUGAUACCAAAUCGUAAAUGAGAAUACUUGCAGUUUUAAAUUACUGCACGCUAUUUUUUCAACGAAAAUAUGUGCAGUUUUAACAUAGUCUAAUUAUUUUCUUGAUGACGGCUCUGCAAAUUGUGAUAGUUGAAAAUCUUUUUAUCGUCUUUGACAAGCAUCAAGGAAAUGCAGGAAGGUUAUUUAUCAGCUGAUUAAUCUCUUUCUUUGUCUCUGAAAAUCCUUACAUUAGAUCUGUUGAGAGUCUUUACUGGGGAUAAUCUUCUGUCACUGGAUCUGUUGAGGUAACUUUGGGACAAAGUACUGUCUCUAUUACAUGGAAGUUUGAACUGUUUCAUAUUUUUUAGACAACUAAAUGCACUUACAAACUCGACUUGUGUUUGAAAAGGUUCAGACACUCGAACCUUGAAAAGAACGAGAGAGAUAUUAUUGGAUCAAGAGAUCUUUAGUCAGGUCUAGUGCUUUCUUAAAUUAAUUUCCUAAAGUUUCAGUUAAGAUGUGAACCAAAGCUCUUGGUGGUGGUUCUCAUUGCUCUCUUUGUUCCAAAUUAAACUUAAAAAUUGUUGUGUGAUCCCAAGUUGCGGGUUUACUGAUGAGAAUAAUAAAUAUUCAACUGAUGAUACCGAAGCAGCAGCAUACUGCAAUUUCUUGUAAUAAUCAAAAGUGCGAGUACUUAUAAAGAAACUUAUACCUAUAAAGCUGUAGAAACCAAUGGUAAGCAUAACUGCAUAUAAGAUACAAAACUAAAUUUAAUACAAGACUUGUUCUAAGCAUUGGAAAAUAUAAUUCAUCCUGGUCUUCAUCUUCUACUGCUCCAAAUAUGCUUUUAUUGCAGCCAAUGUAUUAGUGAAAAGAAUUAAAUUUAAAUUAAUUGUAGACCGCAAAUAUAAGAUUAUGAGAGUUUCUACAACCCACAAAUUAGUAGACAGACUAAUAUGGUUAGUUGAGACCAUCAAUCCGGAGAAACUGUUUCUAAAAUGACCCAUCUGUAUGAAUUAAUGAAGAAAGAAACUUAUACCUACAAUGUAAAGGAAAUGGUCACGAGUAUAUUGCAUUUUUAAUCCAAAUUGUAUAUGAUUCUAUCUGUGCUACUGAUAGUAAAUAAUAAAUCUACCACGGGCCUUGUAGUUAAUCAAGGUAUUUAACUCUACCUUUCUACAUUGUUGAAUAGUUUGAAUAAAAUAAUUGUAAUAAAAUUUUUUCUGGUGCUGUGUGAGUUUAUCAAAGCUAAUCUCGGUGAGAAAUUAACUAAAGCCCUUGGAAUUAGUAAAUAAAAACUCUGGGGAGUGAAAUUAAAAGUCUGAGUACAAGGCAAUGAGCAGGAAACAGCAUAAGGAGUUUACAACUUGAAGUUUCUAUUCUCCUCCGGUCUUUUUGUGAAAAUCAAGUGGCCAUUGAUACAGUUAAAAAUGGCAGGACUACACAUAAUAAAUCACACAGUCGCUUUAUGAGAGAGGAAAAAUGUCAGGACUGCAAUGCAUUUCUAGCCCAUUUUGUACAGCAGCUCAAACGUUUAAAAAACUUCAUUAAUUAUUUUCUUUUAUUGAAACCCACACUCAUCCAUCAAAGUAGCUCUCAAAGACUAAUUUCCAUCACCUUUUGAUUCUCAAAGUCUUCUUCUUCGUCUUCUACUGCUCCAAAAGUUCUUACAUUGCACGCCACAUAUUAGUAGACAUAUACUUGAUCUUGAUGUACAAUGUUAUGUUAUGAUGCUAAUAACCCUCUGCAGGGGUUAUUAAAGAAAGCAACUUAUAGUUUAAGUUGCUGAACAUUUGUGUGUGCCAAAUUUAAUUUCACACAUCAUUACUAGAUUUACACAUGGUAUUAGACAUCAGUACUAGUAUAAGAUGUUAAUCAAGUUUUUGAAUUUCUUUUAUUUCAGAUAACAAGUUUAAUUUUUUUUUUGUGGAAUUAAUUAUUUAUAUCACGCAUUUGAGCUUUAAAAUUAGCUCUAAAUAAAAGUUGAUUUUCGCUCAAAGAAACAAUGAUGUAUAAGAAGAUUUUCAGAACUGAAUUAUUUCUUUCAUUUUUACAAGUUCCAUUCAAGAACCGAAAGUAGCUCACAAAGACUCACUACAUCAUCUUUCAAUUCUCAUAGUCUUGGUCUUUGUCUUCUGCUGCUCAAAAAUUCUAUUACAGCCCACAUAUCAGUAUCAUAAACCUAAUUAUGAAUAGUAUUUAACACUAAACACAAUUGAAGAUUUGUCUCACAGACUUACUUCCAUCACCUUAUGGUUCUCAAAGUCUUCGUCUUCUAAUGCUCCAAAAGUUCUAUUAGUGCAGGCCACAUAUUAGUAAACAGACUACAAUUCAUCCAAAAUGACCCCUCGUAUUGGACACUUUGAACACCUCUGUCUGUAUAUGCAUUGGAGAAGAAUUAUCAGCUAGUUAAAAUAAGGGAAAUUCUUCAUGGUACACUCAUAAAAUUGGCUUUUCUCAAUGGUACCAUCCCAUUUUUGACUGGUACCAGUGGUACCCUCGUACUUUGAAUCUACUCUCUAUGGUACACUCGUGUACUUUUGAUCUAAAAUUGGAUGUAAAAGUUGUUUAGAGACGGGUAUUUUGUCUAAGUUUGUAUUUAAUCAUCAGGUAUUUGGUCUUUUAGUCAGACUGUGGCUCAUACAGUUUGAAGUUGAUAUCAAAUCUUAGAUGAGAGUGUUUGCAGUUUUAUAUUACUGAACAUUUUUUCUUGAAUUCGAUAUCGAAUUUUAAACGAAAAUAUGUGCAGUUUUAAUUUGAAAGUUAUGCAAAUUACAUUAAUAAUAUCAUCUAUUUUGAGUCUCUUGGUCUUCGGUCUUCUAUUGCAGCAUAUCAUAUACUUCUCAAAUGAUUGAAAAUGAACUCUCUCCAAAAGACAAGGGGGUCUAUCGAAGUAGACCUGCAAUUGAUUUUACUUGAAGAAACAAUAAUACUCCAGUUCACUUCUUAAAGUUUUGGUCGUCUUUUAUCUCUCAAAGUCUUGAUCUUUGUCGUUUACAUCUCAAACAAUUUUCCAUCGUAUUGAACACUUCACACAAUUCCAUCGUAUUGAACACUUCACACAAUUCCAUGCUAUCGUAUCAAACACUUCACACAAUUCCAUAAAAUUGAAGAUUUUUGACGAGAUGUUUUAACUAUGAGUUCUUCAAAUUAUUGCUUGUAAGGCCCGCGACAUUUUAGAGAGUCACCAAAGCUUUGGCCUGUGGAUUAAGUUGAUGAAAUCUAAUGCAUCGGAAUCAAUGACAACACUAUUUUAGGGGCUUGAUGCUCUUAAUAUUAUUCAUUCCGCUCAUAAAUUUCAAGUGGAGAGUGGAGAAGAAAGAGCAUCGUGAUUGUCACGGUACCCUUACUUAAAAUUUGUUCGAUUAGGUUUUUUUACGUAGUUUGCGCUUGGUCAUCUAGGUAGGCCUUCAUUAUAUUAACCCACUCGCAUGUCUUCAGCCACUCUUGUAAUUUCAUUAGGGCUGUCAAAAAAGUCCGAAAAAUCCGAUAUCCGUCCGAAAAAUCCGCAUUCGUAUCCGAGAUAAAGCGGAUAUUAUCCGUAUCCGAGACAAAGCGGAUAUUAUCCGCAUCCGAAUCCGACAAUUCCGGAUACGGAUACAGGCAUAUUUGUAUCCGAUAAUAUCCGAAUCCGAAAUUAAAUAUAUAUAUGAUAUUAAAUAUUAUAUAUGUAUAUUAUUAGUAUUAUUCAAUAACUAUAUAAUGUGUGUAUUUAUAUAUGUAUACAUAAAAUAAUAUAUUUAUAUAAAUUUUGUAUAAUUUUAAAAUAUUAUAGACAUAUAUCAUAAUUUUAUUUGAGUUUGAUAUUCUAAAGAUAACAAAUUUAUAUUGAAAGAUAAAUAAGAAUUAAUUUUUGAAUUAAUAUAAACUUUAUUUAAUGAUUUUAAUUUUUUUACUCAGUUUUUAAAAAUUAAACUUUAAUUUUUACUAUUUUUUAUGAUUUUUUAGAAAUUUUAAUAAAAAAAUAAAAUUUCUGAUUAAAAAUCAGAUUCGGAUCCGGAUAUUAUCCGAAUCUGGAUAAUAUCCAUCGGAUCCGGAUUCGGAUAUCAUCCUUUAAAAUAUUUCGGAUUCGGAUCCGGAUACGGAUAUGGAUUUUCGGAUUCGGAUCCGGAUACAGGCAGAUCCGUAUCCGAAUUAUCCGUUUGACACCCCUAAAUUUCAUAUUAAACAAAUUUAAAUUUCUUACAUAAAUUUGUAAAAAUAAUAAAUUUUUUCUUAUUUAUGAUAUUAAUAAAUCUCUUACUCUCUUAUUACUGUAUUCAACUAAUUAUUUUUUCCUAACAGUUAUAAAUGUAUCACAUCAGUUAUGAAAUUUAAAACAAAUAUGUCCAAUUUUUUCGAGAAAGAUGGUUGUAUAAUUUUUAAUUUAAAAUUUUAAUUAUUUUUAUUUUCAAUAUAAUUUACAACUAAAUUUUUUUUAUUAUAAUUUCACUGCUUCAUAUUUGUAAUAAAAUUAAAUAUAUCAUAAAUACACUUUUUUCUAUAUAUAUGCUAACCUCUAGAGAUGUUAAAGAUCAUCCCAAACAAAAUUUGAAAGCGAAAAUGAAAAUGAAAAAUUCCGUACUCUGUUUUUUCACCAUCAGUGUGAUGCUCAUCUUCUUGCAGUUGCAGCACCACCUGGUGGCUUCUUCAUUGAGCCCCAGCUUGCAGAAACUUGCGUUGUUCGACUUUAAACAAACCUUUUCAAUCAGUAAUGAUCCUAAUAGCUGGAUAUGCUCCUAUUAUUCCGUCGAAGACGAAGAGUUUUACGAAAUUCCUUCUCGGCCAAAGACAAAGAAUUGGAGCAUGAGUUCUGAUCACUGCACAUGGGAUGGAGUUAGCUGCGACGACAAGACAGGGGAUGUUAUCGGACUGGAUUUAACUUGCAGUCAGCUGCAAGGAGCCAUUCUUCCUAACAACACUCUCUUCCAGCUCUCUCAUCUCCGCUUCCUCAAUCUUUCUCAAAACGACUUUUCCCAUUCCAACCAGUUCCCUCAGGAAUUUGGUUUCUUUGCAAAAGGUUUGAAGCAUCUCAACCUCUCUUAUACUGGAUUAUCAGGGAGAGUUCCCUUGGGAAUCUCUCAUUUGCAGAAACUGGUCUCACUUGAUCUCAGUUACAACUCUGAAGCUGAACUUAAAGAAGAAGUGUUUAAAUCAAUGUUGCAGAAUUUAACUCAUCUCAGAGUGCUUAAUCUUAAUUACGCUAACAUCUCCUCUGUUUUGCCCGUGAAUAUCUCUGCUUCUUUAAGAGUUCUUCAAUUGUGGGGUACUGGUAUAGACGGAGUAGUACCCCAAGAGGUUUUCCACCUUCCCAACUUGGAAUCACUUGAUUUAUCAAGUAAUUACGACCUGAGAGCUACAUUACCCAAAGUUAAGUGGGGAAGUAAUGCUACUCUCCAACACCUUGUUCUUAAAUACAUCAACAUAGAUGGAGGUAUACCUGAUUCAAUAGGCUUUUUGGAGUCGUUGGGCAGUUUGGAUCUGAGCCGUUGUAAUUUGUCUGGGCCGAUUCCAAGAUCCAUCGGGCACCUCAUUCAACUUACUACAUUGGUCCUCUCUGAAAAUAAUCUCAAUGGCCCAAUUCUAACUUUUCUUACAGACCUUAAAGACUUGAGAUAUAUCUCCCUUGAGCGUAACAAUUUUACGGGUUCGUUUCCCUCUUUUCUUGCCCACUCCAGUAAACUAGUUGUGAUGUAUCUUGAUAGUAAUAGCUUUACUGGAUCCCUACCCAGUUGGUUGUUUCACCCUCCAUCGUUAGAGACCUUGUAUCUGCAUAAUAACGCAUUCACGGGUCAACUACAUGAAUUUCAUUCUUCUCACUCACGGCUGCAAUCUUUUUGGUGUAACAACAAUUUACUCUACGGAUCCAUUCCACAUUCAUUUUCUCAACUUGUGAAUCUCACAUCCCUAGAUUUGUCAUCAAACAAUUUCAGCGGGGUUUUGGAUUUGGAAAUGUUUUCAGGCCUCAAAUUUCUAAGAAGUCUUGAUCUUUCUCAUAACAGUCUGUCAGUGAGAAGUACAAUCAUGUCUACUCUCCCUCCUAAACUUAACCACUUGGGCUUGUCAUCUUGCAACAUGAAAGAGUUUCCUCACUUUUCAAGAGAUGCAAACAUCUCCAUGGAUUUUAUAGACCUAUCAAACAAUAAAAUUGAAGGGGAAAUUCCACACUGGAUUGGGUCGCUGGGGAGGUACUCUGACACUUACAGCUCCUAUCUGAAUCUUUCUCACAACAAACUAAUAGGCGGUCUUGAGCAACUGCCUUGGGGUUAUAUUACUUAUCUUGAUCUCCAAUACAAUAAGCUGGAUGGAUCGUUGCCCACCUUGAUGUGUAGUUCCACCUCUCUUCAUAUUCUAAAUCUGUCUCACAACAAAUUGAGUGGUGUACUACCCAGUUGUCCUCCACAUAGGAAUAUUCUUUCAGUGUUGGAUCUGCGGAGGAAUAAAAUUCAAGGAAACAUUCCAGCAACCUUGUCAAAUUUCUAUAAUCUGGAAACCAUUAAUUUGAAUGGAAACCAAUUAGAAGGAGGCAUUCCUUCUUCUUUUGCUGAAUUUGAUUCAUUAGCCGUUCUUGAUCUUGGAAAUAAUCAGAUAAAUGAUACAUUCCCCCGGUGUUUGGAAGCUCUUCCAAAUCUCCAAGUUCUUGUUCUCAAAUCAAACAAGUUUUAUGGUCUUAUAAACACGAGUUCUCAGGUUGUACACCCAUUUCCUAGCUUGAGAAUCAUUGAUCUUUCGUACAACAAGUUUUCAGGUGCACUGCCAGAAAAAUAUUUCAGAAACUUCAAGGCUAUGAUGAAUGGUGAAGUGAAUAAGGUAAAUCGUAGUUAUAUGGAGCAGGAGGAUUAUUACAGGGAUUCCACAGCUCUAGUGAUUAAAGGCAUGGAGAUUGAUUUAGAAAGAAUUUUGACUGUGUUCACAACUAUUGAUGUAUCAAAGAACAAUUUUGAUGGGGAGAUAGCUGAAUACUUUGGAAAUCUUGUAUCACUCAGAUUUCUUAAUCUUUCUCACAAUUAUCUCACAGGCCACAUACCACGCUCGAUUGGAAAAUUGACUGUGCUGGAGUCACUAGACCUCUCAUCCAACCAACUUAAAGGAGAAAUUCCUCCGCAGCUCACUAGUGUAUAUUCACUUGCAGUUCUCAAUCUGUCUUGCAACCAACUUAGAGGACGUAUUCCAGAAGGGUGGCAAUUCGAUACGUUUGAAAACAGCAGCUACGCUGGUAACUUUGGGCUGUGCGGACAUCCCUUGUCGAAAAAGUGUGAAUCUUAUGUUAAAACACAAGAAGAAGACGAAGAAGAUGAGGAUGAAUGUCACUUUUUCAGUGGUUUUACUUGGGAAGCGGUGGUGAUUGGAUAUGGGUGUGGAGUGGUGCCUGCAUUUAUUAUUGGGUACCUGAUGUUGCUGGCACAGAAACCAAAAUGGUUUGCUGGAAUCAUUGGCAGGGAAUUGGGCCUGAAGAUGAGGAGGAUGGAGAUUAGAAUGCGAUAACUAAAGGUUUGCUGUAAUCUGUAUCCCAUUCCCAGGUCUUGAAUAUUCUGUGAUAAUAUAGUAAUAUCUGGUCUCAUAUAAUUCUAUAUUUGCACCUGUAGACGUUUACAGAUUGGAGAGGCAUGAACAUUUUGGCAUGCAAGUUGAUGGGAAAAGCAGGAUUCAAAUGCAUUGGAAUCAACAACUGCGGUGUUGUAGGCAGCCAAGUUAAUAAACCACUACUUCAGCUGUUUUGCAUCUUCUGUGAUUUUAAAUUUUACAUUUUACAAUAUAAGUCAAAAGAUACAAGUUCAAUAUACAAGUUUUGUUUUGUUUAGUUCCAGCCUAUAAACACUUCAGUAGAUACCAGAGGAGAAAUGGAUACAAUCAAUGUCGGAAUUGGUCUUUAUAGUUGAAACAAAGACUACCAGAUCAUUACCAAUAUCAACUAGGCAUGUUGUUUAACGGGGAACUCAUAACUGGACAAUAAUUUUAAUAAUUUAGAAUUUGUGUAAUUUAUUACUGGUCUAAAGGACACGGGAUGGGUUUGCAAUAGUUAUUUGGAAACAGCUUGCUUAGAUAAAUGGACAGUGUUUUAUAAUAAUAGAGUCCGGGGCCUAUCAAGUGAUUGUUAGAGCAAUUUAUCUACUGUUUUUUAUAGCGGAAAAACAUAAACACUUGGUUUUUUAGUGCAUGCAGAGGGUCCAUCAGUCCAUCCGCAAUUUACACACUCAUUAUUCCAGGAUUCUCUGUUUCAUGGUAUUCUGCUGUGUAAAGAACAAUCACUUGUCAGGACCACCUCCCAUAAUCACAAGAGAUUCUAUAGGAAAAGAAGCAACAGACAUGGUUGGAUUGUUUGUUUUCUGUAUUCUUCUGCUAAAAGGCUACCCUUUUAAAGUCUCUUUUAUAUAUAAAGAUACAAAAAAAAAAAAAAAAAUCAUACUAAUAAAGAUUCUUUUUGGCUCCUCCAGAACUGGCCAGUUUUUCCUUAACUUUGCUUCUCCCACAUAAGACUAUAAGAAUAUUACAAUGAAAUAGUUGAUUAUCGUUGAACUUGCCAAUCUGUUGACUUGGUAAUUUGAAUUUGAUAAGCUCUGAAUUGUAAGUAACGAGGAACAAGAUGACAUGAUGGUAAAUAGAAAAUACAAGAUGUCCAUCAACAUAGCAAAGAAAUAUUUUUCAGCCGGACGACAUAUCAGGAUGUUCAUUACUAAAACAUGUUUGCUGAUGCUUUAUAAUGUACAAUUUACAAUAUAUCACAGGUUGUAAUAUACACUACUAGAUGAUUUUAUGGCCUGUUUAUCCUUAAUCGCUAUCAUGAACUAAUGAAAAUUUAUAAAAGUGGAUCACAUUUGCAGUGAUGCCGCUAUUUUUCCUGAAUUUCCCUAGUUGUGAAGAUUCCCUAGUUGUGAAGAUUGUCUAAAUCAUGUUAGAGUCGCUGCCAUCAGUGAAUGCAUUCAAUGGCUUACUGAAACUGGUAGAGAUACUAAAUUGCAAGAUGACAGAGUGUCCAUGCGUCAUUUUAAGGAUCAAGAUGUGUAGCUGUGACUUGUAUUUUAAAAUUGCAAGAUGUUUUACAAUGGUAGCAGAGGAGGGCUGGGGAUUUAUUGGGUCAGUUCGAAGCACACAAGUAGAAUUGGUUGUGGCAGAGCAAGAAGCUGAGCACGACCAUAAGAAUUUGAACUCUGAGGCUAAUUUGACUCUACUUGUACAAGUUAAUAUAUGAUGGCACAAGUUAAUAUAUGAUGGCAGCAAAGGAGUUUCUUACAUGCGCCAGUUUACAGUUCUUAGAAACAUCUUAUUAUGCUUAUUUGUACUAAACAGAUAUUAGUAGUCCACCAGAAACAAGGAGAUUUGAUAUAUCCCGGACUCUGAGGCCGGUGACAGUCUAUGAGAGGGCAUGUAAUCGAUGGAACAAGGAGGAUUCAGAUACAUUGGAUUCAUUAACAGAACUUCUUCAGAGCCGGAGUCACUUCCAGAUGCUCUCUUCUGGUAGAUAUCUAUUGGAGAAGUAAAAACAUCUCAUAAUCAUCAUUCAGCACUUGCUCUGAGUUUGUUGAUCAACCAUGCGAUGUUGAAGGCAGCUCUUAUCUUAUCUGCAAUCAAGUUAAUGAACCACCACCUCAGUUGUUAAGCAUCUUUCACCAUUUUACAUUUUACAACUCACAAUAAAAGAUUACAUGUGUAUUAAUCUGAUCAUCAUUUGUUUGAUCAAUAUAGAAGUUCGGCUCUGUUUACUUCUAUCCCUGGCUCUUCAUUUCUAGAACAUUGUUGAUACUUUUUAUUGAAUGGUUAAGAAUAUUCCAUAGAUUUUUAUAUUCAGUGCUAGAUGAUUUUAUGUCCUGUUUUCAUUCCAUUCAUGAACUAAUUAAAAAUUUGAAAGUGAUGCCCACCUUUCUGGACCUGCAUUCCAUGACCACAAACUCCAAUUCUGCCCAAAAAUUGCAGCUGUUUCGUAAUAUUUUUCUACGUGUUCUUUUGUUUGGACUUGUUUGCUGGACCAUGCAUAUUGUUUUGAUACAAACAUCUUUGUUGAUGUUAACACUCAUUGUUAGUAGCCCAUUCUUUACGGCAGACAUUGAAUUGGAUUUACUUGAAGAAAUGAAGGUUUAAGAAAGUUCAGAGCAAUUUGUUGAUUAUUUCCUUCCCUAGAAACUGCACUCCAGCAUCAAAGUACCUUUCAAAGACUCUACACAUAAUCUCUUGAUUAUCAAAGACUUGGUCUUGCAUAUACUGAUAUACACUGAAUAUAGGUUUCUUUCAUUUCCUUGAAAUUGCAUUUUUCGAAGUAACUCUCCAGACUCAUUCCCGUCACUUCUCAAAGUCUUAGUCCUCAUCAAUACAUUCACAUAAUAUCACACCAAUUUGCUCAUGCUCAGAUGGGCUUUUCUUACAAACCACAUAUGUUCACUUCUCAGAGUCUUAGUCCUCGUCAAUGUAUAGAGAUAAUAUCUCACCAUUUGCUAGUGCUACAAAUCAGUUUCUCCUACAACCACACAUAAUCGGAGAAAAGUCUGUCAAGUGUCAAGUGGACUUGAAAGACCCUUCUGCAUGGAUUAUUGUAUGUCAUGAAUGCCUUCUGAUAUCCCUGAAAGUGCAAGCAAGUUAUAAAAGUAGCUGGGCAGACUCUUUCUCAUCAAUACAUUCACAUUCAAAGCGGGCGUUGAUAUGCCUCCCUAAUUUUCUAAUGCCCUAGACGGAAUUCUAUUACAAUCCACAUAUGAUGGGUAGCGAUCAUCAAUUCAAAGAAGACACUAUCAGCAGCUUGCAGGAAAUGACCCCUCUGCAUGGAUUAUCGAAGAAAGAAACUUAUACCUAUAAAGCUGUAGAAAACCAAUGGUAAGCAUAACUGCAUAUAAGAUACAAAACUAAAUUUAAUACAAGACUCGUUCUGAGCAUUGGAAAAUAUGCUUUUAUUGCAGCCAAUGUAUUAGUGAAAAGAAUUAAAUUUAAAUUAAUUGUAGACUGCAAAUAUAAGAUUAGGAGAGUUUCUACAACCCACAAAUUAGUAGACAGACUAAUAUGAUUAGUUGAGACCAUCAAUCUGGAGAAACUGUUUCUACAAUGACCCAUCUGUAUGAAUUAUUGAAGAAAGAAACUUAUACCUACAAUGUAAAGGAAAUAAUCACGAGUAUAUUGCAUUUUUAAUCCAAAUUGUAUAUGAUUCUAUCUGUGCUACUGAUAGUAAAUAAUAAAUCUACAACGGGCCUUGCAGUUAAUCAAGGUAUUUAACUCUACCUUUCUACAUUGUUGAAUAGUUUGAAUAAAAUAAUUGUAAUAAAUUUUUUGCUGGAUGCUGUGUGAGUUUACCAGAGCUUAUCUUGGUGAGAAGUCUGAGUACAAGGCAAUGAGCAGGAAACAACAUAGGGAGUUUACAACUAGAAGUAUCUAUUCUCCCCUAGUCUUUUUGUGAACAUCAAGAGGCCAUUCAUUUUGCUCACAAACCAGUUAAAAAUGGCAGGACUACACAUAAUGAAUCACGCAGUCACUUUAUGUGAGAAAAGAAAAAUGUCAGGACAGCAGCUCAAACGUUUAAAAAACUUCAUUAAUUAUUUUCUUUUAUUGAAACCACACUCAUCCAUCAAAGUAGCUCUCAAAGACUAAUUUCCAUCACCUUUUGAUUCUCAAAGUCUUCUUCUUCGUCUUUUACUGCUCCUAAAGUUCUUCCAUUGCAAGCCACAUAUUAGUAGACAUACUACAUCAACUCUGUGGAAAGAAACAAUCUAUACUUGAUCUUGAUGUACAAUGUUAUGAUGUAAAUGUAUAAUAUCAAAAUUAGGAAUAGUAGUCACGCGCUAAUUAAUAACCCUCUGCAGGGGUUAUUAAAGAAAGCAACUUAUAGUUUAAGUUGCUGAACAUUUGUGUGUGCCAAAUUUAAUUUCACACAUCAUUACUAGAUUUACACAUGGUAUUAGACAUCAGUACUAGUAUAAGAUGUUAAUCAAGUUUUAUAAUUUCUUUUAUUUCAGAUAACAAGUUUUUUUUUUUGUGGAAUUAAUUAUUUAUAUCAUGCAUUUGAGCUUUAAAAUUAGCUCUACAUAAAAGUUGGUCUAUUGCAGUAGACACUAAAAUGAUUUCGCUCAAAGAAACAAUGAUGUAUAUGAAGAUUUUCAGAACUGAAUUUCUUUCUAUUUCUAAAAAUUGCAUUCAAGAACCGAAAGUAGCUCACAAAGACUCAUUACAUCAUCUUUCAAUUCUCAUUGUCUUGGUCUUUGUCUUCUACUGCUCAAAAUUCUAUUACAGCCCACAUAUCAGUAUCAUAUACCUAAUCAUAAAUAGUAUUUAAUAUUUAACACAAUUGAAGAUUUGUCUCAGAGACUUACUUCCAUCACCUUAUGGUUCUCAAAGUCUUCGUCUUCUAAUGCUCCAAAAGUUCUAUUAGUUCAGGCCACAUAUUAGUAAACAGACUACAAUUCAUCCAAAAUGACCCCUCUUAUUGGACACUUUGAACACCUCUAUCUGUAUAUGCAUUGGAGAAGAAUUAUCAGCUAGUUAAAAUAACCUCUUCGCAUCAACUCUAUCGAAAGAAGCAAUUCAUACCUAAAGUACAAUGUUUGGAUAAAAUCAGGAAUAGCAACUGCACGCUAAUUUUUUAGUUGAAGCAGGCUACCUUGGUGUAAUUCAGUGAACAUCCCCGUAAUUUCUUGACAGGCCACAAUUAAGGAAGUUCACAGAAUUAAAUUCCAGAAGUAGCUCCCUGAGACAGAUUUGCAUCAUCUUUCCAUCCUCAAAGUUCUUUACACUUAUAUUAUAUUUCAUGUUUUAUUGUAAUGAACAUAGCAGUUUCCUGUUCAGUAAUAUUCCAGGCUCAGGUUCUUCAUUCCUAGUCUCUGUUACAUGUUUGCCACUAAAACGUAUUGAACAGUUAUUAGUUUAUGAUUGUAUUCCAUCUUGAAAGGAGAUCUCAAAGACUCAUUCCCAUAAUCUUAAGAAUCUCAAGUCUUGAUGAACUUGGCCUUCAUCAUAUUUGUACUCUUGUAAUUCCAUAUUAAUGAAGUUUAAAUAUUUAUUUCAAAAAAAAAUGAAGUUUAAAUAUUAAAAUUUUUAAUUUUAGUAAAUUUGUAAAAAUAGUAAAAUUUGUCUUAUUUAUAAUAUUAAUAAAUCUCUUACUUUCUCGUUACUGUAUUCAACUUAAUAAUUCUUACAAACACUUGUAAGUGCAUCACAUAAGUUAUGUAAAUUCAGAAUAAAUUAUGUCCGAUUUCUUUAAGAGAGAUUGUUAUAUUGUUUUUACUUUAAAAAUUGAAUUAUCUUUUAUUUUUAAUAUAAUUUACAACUAAAAAAUAUUUAAUAUAUUUUCUUAUUUUUGUAAUAUGACUAAACAUAUCUUAAAUACACCUUUUUCCUAUAUAUAUAUAUAUAUACAUCUAUUAUAUUUUUUAUGAAAUAUAAUUACAAAUUUUGAUUAUUAAACCGAAAACGAAGUUAUACAAUUUUUUUAUUUCAAAGAUCAUCUAAUAUAUCAUGUAAUAUCUCAACAUGAUUCUAUAACAGAAUAAUAAUCAUUCAGAAUUAUUCUGUUGUAGAAUCAGUUUCGAAACUAUACUUUUUUUUAUCAAAUUUUAAGUGUUAAAUUACUUAAAAUAGAUAUAUUUUAUAGUAUUCUAUAUUAGAAUCACGUUUUAUAUGUAUUUUAUAGCAGAAUUUAUAAUAAAAUUGAUGAUUUAUAAUGCCGCACUAUGUAACUUCAUAUAAAGAGUCCCUUUCUGGAAUGUUGGCAUAUAUAUAUACUAGCUUAAAACCCGUGCAAUGCACGGGCGGUUAUGAUAUUUAUUAUUUUAUCGUAUAUAUUCCAGAUUUAACUAAUUUUAUUGAAAUUAAAAUUGUGAUAGAAUAAUGUGAUUAAAUAAAACAUUUAUUUAACGACUGAAAAAUUCUUAAUAGUUAAAUCCGUCAAAUAGCUAAUUUAAAAUUAAGUCAAAUAUAUAUUUUAAUAAAAAUGUUAAAAUAUAUUAUAUUUUUUAUAUGUUAUAAUUCAAGAAGACACAUAAACCUAGAUAUAAACAACCCAAUCAACCUUUUAAUAUUUUGUUAUUAAUAAUAUAGAACAAAUCCUUAAAAUAGAAUCAGAUAAGUAUAAAACAUAUUGUAAGCUAAAGGGAAGUGUACUGAUCCAUAACACUAACCUAAUUUAUUUAUUUUUAAACAGCACUAACCUAAUUUAUAAAUUAAGGAGGUCCAUGGAUCAAAUAUGAACCGGUUUAUAAAACUCGACCGACCAACUGAACUUUUCAGUUUAUGUUUUAAUAGUACAAUAAUAUAUAGUAUAGUAUAGAUUUGUAAUUUUAACUUUUAAAUUUAGAUCAGUAGAGCAUUUAAAGUAACGUUAAUAUAUUUUGAUCGACAAAUAUCGCCAUUUAUUUAAUAAUAUUGUUAUAUUUUUAUAUAUAUGUCGCCCGUGUUAAUUGUAGUAGAUCAAUUUUUUCAGUCAGUAAAUCUUAAAAAAAAAAUGUGUUUUAGUUAAAAAGGUAAUUACUAUUGCUCGAUGUUAUUUUAGAAAAUUGUGUUUUUUUAGUUAGAAAAUAUAAAAAAGAUAACAUAUUCUAGUUUAAAAGAAUAUUUAGUUAUAUAGAUAGGCCUGUAUUUCGGCCCAAAGUUAAAAAGAAUACUCCCUCCGUCCCCUCCAAUUCUUAUCGUUUGGAAUGGAGUGCUCGGCACGCAUUUUAAGACUCAUAUAAAGUAUAGUUCCAUAACUCAUUUUCAUAAUUCUCUUUUUCUGAAUAAAAAUUUAAACAUUACAUUUUUAUUUAAAAAAAGAAAAUUUUAAAAAUAAGUUAUGGAACUAUACUUUAUAUAAGCCUUAAAAUGCGUGCCGAGCACUCCAAUCCAAAUGAUAAGAAUUGGAAGAGACAGAGGGAGUAAUUAGUUAUGUCGAUAGACCCGUAUUCGGUCCAAUUACUUACAUACCAUAACUUUCAAUUUUCGAUUUUAAUAAUAUAGUAAACCUUAAAAAAGAUAAUGUAUUUUAGUUAAAAAGGUAAUAACUAUAUUGUUCGAUGUUAUUUUAUAAAAUUGAGUUUUUUAGUUAGAAAAUAUAAAAAAGAUAACAUAUUAUAGUUAAAAAGAAUAAUUAGUUAUAUAAAUAGGCCUUAUUUCGGCCUAAAGUUAAAAAUAAUAAUUGGUUAUAUAGAUAGGCCCGUAUUUCGGCCCAAAUUUUGACCGAUCAAACUUUCAAUGUUCGUAAUUACUGUUGCUCGAUGUUAUUUUAGAAAAUUGAGUUUUUUUAGUUAGAAACUUUAAAAAAGAUAACAUAUUCUGGUUUAAAAGAAUAAUUAGGUAUAUCGAUAGGCCUGUAUUUCGAUUUUCGGCCCAAAGUUAAUAAGAAUUAUUAGUUAUGUCGAUAGGCCCGUAUUCGGUCGAAUUACCGACAUACCAAACUUUCAAUUUUUUAUUUUAAUAGUAUAGUGAACCUUAAAAAAGAUAACGUAUUUUAGUUAAAAAGGUAAUAACUAUAUUGUUCGAUGUUAUUUUAGAAAAUUGAGUUUUUCUAGUUAAAAAAUAUAAAAAAGAUAACAUAUUAUAAUUAAAAAAAUAAUUAGUUAUAUAAAUAGGCCUUAUUUCAGCCCAAAGUUAAAAAUAAUAAUUAGUUAUAUAGAUAGUCCCGUAUUUCGGCCGAAAUAUCGACCGAUCAAACUUUCAAUGUUUCAGUUUUAAAAAUAUAGUAUAGCUUUCGGCCCAAAGUUAAAAGAAUAAUUAGUUCUACAGAUAAGCCCGUACUUCGGCCCAAGUACCGACCGACCGACCAAACUUUUAAUGUUUCGGCUUUAAUAGUACUAACUUAUAGCCCGUGCAAGGCAUGGGAGCUUUUUAGUAAUUUAUAAACUUUUUAAAUAUAUUUUAAAUUAUGUGAAAAUUUUUAAUUUACAAAUAAUAAAUUAAAAUUUUCAAUUAAAUAAAAUUUGAAAUUAUGAUUUGUUUGCAAUUCCGAACUUUUGUAAAAAUAUAUAAUUUUUAUAUGAUGUUGGUACAAUUUAAAAUUUUAUCUUAAAUUUUAGUUGAAUCUAAUACAAAAUAUUAGUUUCCAUGAUUUAUUAGUUAUGAAUAACUUAAGCUAACGUAUUCGUCUUUAAUAAUAAAAAUAUUUAAUAGCAUGAGGUAAUGCAUAUUUGCAUAUAAUUUUUCAUUUUUCUUUUUUAAUAUAUAUACUUGAAUAAAAAUAUUUAUUUUAAAAAUAUUUUUAUGUUAAAUUAUUAAUCUUUAUAUAUAAAAUAUAUUCCCUACGGGCUACGUCCCAUCAUAUUAUUUAGAGUUUUUUUUUUGGGAUGUACCAUCAAAUUCUUUACAUUUCAAAACUUACCAAAUAGGUCCCACCACUACACAACUUUUCCUACCUUUUCACACUACUUUUACUCCUUUUUCACAAUACCUUUACUCUACUAUCUUCUUUUUAUACAUUAAAAAUUAAUAGGUCCCACUACUUACCCAUUUUUCUUUUUAUUUUCCACUACUUUGUACAUAUAUCUUCACCUCCGUGCCCAAACCAAACAUAAAGAUUGGCUGGGACGGAAGGAGUAUUCAUUAAUAAUUUGAAUAACAUGCAUGCAAAUAGAAGGCAUAACAUGUCUGGAUUAGGAAAAUUUGUUAAAAAUAUGCGUUAUAUUUUUCACACUUGUUUCUAAUUUGGAUAAAAAUAUUUUUGUGAUCGUGCAAUUUGUAUGAUUCUACAAAUAAAAAUGGGAAUAUUUAUUUUAGAUUAAAAUAACAUAAACACGUGAAAGAAAUAAUUUGUUUUGGAUUCAGAAAAGAAGAUAUCAGUUGCCUAGCUGCCUUAUAAGUUCUAAUCUAACAGUGCUUAUUUGAUCAAUAUACGAUCUAACGGAUGAUAAGCUUUUGGACCAGAGGACCAUGCGACCAAAUUAUCUCCCUUACGCUUAUUAUAUAAUACUAGCUUAUAGCCCGUGCAAGGCACGGGAGCUUUUUAAUUAUUUAUAAAUUUUUUAAAUAUAUUUUAAAUGGUGUGAAAAAAUUAAUUUAUAAAUAAUAAAUUAAAAUUGUACAUAUCAUGCCAAAGUAUUAAAUUCUUUCUAUCAAAUUUUAAACCAACUCCUAUUAGAUUAUAUUUAUAAAAGUUCUAAUCUAACAGUGCUUAUUUGAUCAAUAUACGAUCUAACGGAUGAUAAGCUUUUGGACCAGAGGACCAUGCGACCAAAUUAUCUCCCUUACGCUUAUUAUAUAAUAUAGCUUAUAGCCCGUGCAAGGCACGGGUGCUUUUUAAUUAUUUAUAAACUUUUUAAAUAUAUUUUAAAUGGUGUGAAAAAAUUAAUUUAUAAAUAAUACAUUAAAAUUGUAUUCUCAAAAUGGUGUGAAAAAAUUUAAUUUAUAAAUGUUAAAUUAAAAUUGUAUGUAUCAAUGCCAAAGUAUUAAAUUCUUUCUAAAUUUUAAAUUAUUUUAAGUAGUGUGACGCCAACUCCUAUUAGAUUAUAUUUAUAAAUGUAUUUUAUAUUAGAAUUAUUAUAAUGUGAUUUAAAUAUUUUUCUAAAAAUUUUUAUGGUUCGAGAUUAAAAUUGAUAAACACAAUUUGUUUUGAAUUAAGAAGAUGAAUCAUAAACAUGCAAUAAGAUGGUAGAAUUUGCUUUGGAUUAAAAAAUUUUUUUUGUAUUUGUUCCUCACAUAAAUCGGGCUUAUUAAUUUUGAAAUAUAUUAGGUAAAAAUAAUUUUGUGACUGUGCGAUUUAUAUGAUUCUACAAAUAAAAUUGGUAGAAAAUAUUUAUUUUGGAUCAAAAAAAAUCAUAAACACGGGAAAUACUUAAUUUGUUUUGGAUUCAGAAAAGGAUUUAUAAACAUGCAAGUAGAUAUCAGUUGUGUUAUGGAACAAAAGUUAAUUUUGUUCUAAUCCAACGGUGCUUAUUUGUUCAAUAUACGAUCCGAUGGAUAAAAAUAAUCUUGUGACGGUGUGAUUUAUACGAUUCCACAAUUAAAAUUUGUAGGAAAUAUUUAUUUUGAAUUAAAAAAAAACAAAAACACAUGAAAGACAGAAUUUGUUUUGAAUUCAGAAAAAGAAUUAUAAACAUGCAAGUAGAUGUCAGUUUCCUUAUAGAACAGAAUUUAAUUUUGUUCUAAUCUAACGGUGCUUAUUUGUUCAAUAUACGAUCCAACGGCUUUUGGACCACAGGACCUUGCGACCAAAUUAUCUCCCUUACGCUUAUUAUAUAUAAGUAUAUAAUAAGUAUAUAAUAGUAUAGAUAUGCUAGUCUUAAAUAUAUUUUUUUCCUAUAUAUAUGCUAGCCUCUUGAGACGUGAUCAUCCCAAACAAAAAAAUUUAACGGAAAAAGAAAAUGAGGAAUUCCAUCCUCUGUUUUUCCACCAUCUGUUUGUUGCUCAUCUUCCUGCAGUUGCAGCACAACCUAGUGGCUUGUUCAUUAAGCCCCCACUUGCAGAAACUUGCCUUGUUCCAUUUUAACCAAACCUUAACAAUCAGUACUACUAGCUGGGAUUGCGAAUACGUUUCCUACGAAGAGAAUGCAGUGUAUGAAAUUCCUUCACGGGCAAAGACAAAGAAUUGGAGCAUGAGUUCUGAUCACUGCACAUGGGAUGGAGUUAGCUGCGACGACAAGACAGGGGACGUUAUCGGACUGGAUUUAAGUUGCAGUCAGCUGGAAGGAGCCAUUCUUCCUAACAGCGCUCUCUUCCAGCUCUCUCAUCUCCGCUUCCUCAAUCUUUCUCAAAACGACUUUUACCUCGCCAGUCAGUUCCCUCAGGAAUUUGGUUUCUUUGCAAAAGGUUUGACGCAUCUCAACCUCUCUAAUACUGGAUUAUCAGGGAGAGUUCCCUCGGGAAUCUCUCAUUUGUAUAAACUUGUCUCACUUGAUCUCAGUGACAACUCAGUCUCACUUGAUCUCAGUCAGAACUAUGAGGCUAAACUUGAAGAAGAAGUGUUUAAAUCAGUGUUGCAGAAUUUAACUCAUCUUGAAGUGCUUAAUCUUAAUGGAGUUAAGAUCUCCUCUGUUUUGCCCCUGAAUAUCUCUACUUCUUUAAGAGUUCUUCAAUUGAGGUAUACUUAUAUACACGGAGUAGUACCCCAAGAGGUUUUCCACCUUCCCAACUUGGAAUUACUUGAUUUAUCACUUAAUGACGACCUGAGAGCAACAUUACCCAAAGUUAAGUGGGGAAGUAAAGUUACUCUCCAACACCUUCAUCUUUCAUACAUCAACAUAGAUGGAGGUAUACCUGACUCAAUAGGCUUUUUGGAGUCAUUAGUCAGUUUGGAUUUGAGCAGCUGUAAUUUGUCUGGGCCUAUACCAAGAUCCAUUGGGCACCUCGUUCAACUUACUCGCUUGGACCUCUCUCAAAAUAUUCUCAAUGGCCCAGUUCCAACAUUUUUUACAGACCUUACAGACUUAAGAUAUAUCUCCCUUUGGCAAAACAAUUUCACUGGAUCCCUACCUCGUUCGUUGUUUCACCAUCCAUCCUUAGAGUCCUUGUCUCUGGAUAAUAAUGCAUUCACGGGUCAACUACAUGAAUUUGAUUCUUCUCGCUCACGGCUGCAAUCUUUUUCUUGUUCCAACAAUUCACUCUAUGGAUCCAUUCCACAUUCUUUUUCUCAGCUUGUGAAUCUCACUGUCCUAGAUUUGUCAUCAAACAAUUUCAGCGGGGUUUUGGAUUUGGAAAUGUUUUCAGGCCUCGAAUCUCUAAAACGUCUUCAUCUUUCUGAUAACAGUCUUUCAGUGAGAAGUACAAUUAUGGCCACUCUCCCUCCUAAUCUUUACUCCUUGGGCUUGUCAUCUUGCAACAUGAAAGAGUUCCCCCACUUUUCAAGAGAUGCAAACAUCUCCCUGAAUCUUAUAGACCUAUCAAACAAUAAAAUUGAAGGGGAAAUUCCACACUGGAUUGGGUCGGUGGGGGAUUUCUAUGGAAUCCCUUAUCUGAAUCUAUCUCACAACAAACUAAUAGGCGGUCUUGAGCAACUGCCUUGGGGUUAUAUUCAAUAUCUUGAUCUCCAAGACAACAAGCUGAAUGGCUCCUUGCCCACCUUGAUGUGUAAUUCCAGCUCUCUUGAGAUUCUAAAUCUCUCUCACAACAAUUUGAGUGGUGUACUCCCCAUUUGUCAUACAAAUUUGACUCAGCUUUCGGUGUUGGAUCUGCGGAGGAAUAAAAUUCAAGGAAUCAUUCCAGCAACCUUGUCAAAUUUCCGUUAUCUGGAAACUAUUAAUUUGAAUGGAAACCGCUUACAAGGAAGCAUUCCUUCUUCUUUUGCUGAAUUAGAUUCUUUAGCCGUCCUUGAUCUUGGAAAUAAUCAGAUAAAUGAUACAUUCCCCCUGUGUUUGGAAGCUCUUCCAAAACUCCAAGUUCUUGUUCUCAAAUCAAACAAGUUUCAUGGUAUAAUAAACCAGAGUUCUGAGACAAAACACCCAUUUCCUAGCUUAAGAAUCAUUGAUCUUUCGUACAAUGAGUUUUCAGGUGCACUGCCAGAAAAAUAUUUUAGAAACUUCAAGGCUAUGAUGAAUGCGGAAGUGAAUAAGAUAAAUCGUAGCUAUAUGGAGCAUCGGUAUUACAGUGAUUCCACAGCUCUGGUGAUUAAAGGCAUGGAUAUUGAUUUACAUAGAAUUUUGACUGUGUUCACAACUAUUGAUGUAUCAAAGAACAAUUUUGAUGGGGGGAUAGCUGAAUACUUUGGAAAUCUAGUAUCACUCAGAUUUCUUAAUCUUUCUCACAAUUAUCUCACAGGCCACAUACCAUGCUCGAUUGGAAAAUUGACUGUGCUGGAGUCACUAGACCUCUCAUCCAACCAACUUGAAGGAGAAAUACCUCAGCAGCUCACUAGUGUAUAUUCACUUGCAGUUCUAAAUCUGUCUUGCAACCAACUUAGAGGACGUAUUCCAGAAGGGUGGCAAUUCGAUACGUUUGAAAACAGCAGCUACGCUGGUA
rnacentral:lncRNA from 1 species